rnacentral:lncRNA from 1 species
AGGUUGAGAAAAGGGAGAUUGGAGCUAGAUUGUGAGAGUCAUAAGUUGGGGCAAGCUUGGUGCUACCUCUUUUUGUUUCUUUGUUGUUGACGAAUAAUGGAUAGUUUCUGAAUACUGAGAAGUUAGUCUGGAGUGCCAGACUAUGAGAGUCGUAAGCCGAGAUAUUGAAUUCUGUGUGAUGAAUUGAGAAAUUGAAUACAAUAGGUAAGCUGGAGAUCAAUAAAUGAAUAUAUAUAAACUACAAAGAGAGUAAGUGGGAGAUGAACGGAUAAGAAUAUGGAAGUAUUGUUGAAUUGAUAGUCAUAGAAUGGAUUAGGUGUUGAAUUAAGACGGAAGUAAUAAGCCUUGGUGUUUUGUAGUUUGAUAAUUGAUUUCAGAUAGCUCGAAUAUAGUCAAUUGUAAUACUAACAGACCCAAUUUAUAUAACCAGUCUUUCCCUGUGUUCGAACCCACCUCUAUUAGUUCAAUUGCUUUGGUAUAUUAAAGCUUGAAUAC